CCUACGGGAGGCAUCAGUGAGGAAUAUUGGUCAAUGGCCGGGAGGCUGAACCAGCCAAGUCGCGUGAGGGAAGACGGCCCUACGGGUUGUAAACCUCUUUUGUCAAGGAGUAAGGUGCAGGUCGGGACCUGCUGUGAGAGUACCUGAAGAAAAAGCAUCGGCUAACUCCGUGCCAGCAGCCGCGGUAAUACGGAGGAUGCGAGCGUUAUCCGGAUUUAUUGGGUUUAAAGGGUGCGUAGGCGGAUGCACAAGUCAGCGGUAAAAUAGCGGGGCUCAACCCAGCUCCGCAGUUGAAACUGUGUGCCUUGAGUGCGCGAAGGGUAGGCGGAAUGCGUGGUGUAGCGGUGAAAUGCAUAGAUAUCACGCAGAACUCCGAUCGCGAAGGCAGCCUACCGGCGCGCAACUGACGCUGAUGCACGAAAGCGUGGGUAUCGAACAGGAUUAGAUACCCCAGUAGUC
rnacentral:rRNA from 1 species